rnacentral:misc_RNA from 1 species
UAUAGCCAAGAAUUAGAGAAAGAGGAAAACAGAAAUAGAGAAGGGAUAAGAUGAGAGAGAAUUAAGAAUGUUUUAUAUUCAGCUAUUAUAUCGUCAACACAACUCCCCUCAUGCUUUUAUACAAUCAACUUGAUUUUAGGAACCGGAUCAAGAAGUAAUAUAGACAAAAAUAAUAUCAGAUUGUUUGGUGGCCAAGAAUUAGAGAGAGAUGGAAACCAAA